UACGGAGGGUGCAAGCGUUGCUCGGAAUUAUUGGGCGUAAAGGGUAGGUAGGUGGUCUUAUUUGUCUGGGGUGAAAGCCUUGAGCUUAACUCAAGAAGUGCCCCAGAAACGGUGAGACUAGAGUCCUGGAGAGGGUCGUGGAAUUCCCGGUGUAGCGGUGAAAUGCGUAGAGAUCGGAAGGAACACCAGUGGCGAAGGCGACUACCUGGGCAAUAACUGACGCUGAGGCGCGAGAGCGUGGGGAGCAAACCGG
rnacentral:rRNA from 1 species